rnacentral:lncRNA from 1 species
UUUAAAAUAAAAAUAAAAUAAGUGGCGACUCCGACUUUUUCCAAAAUGAAUUUUUCACAAAUAGAAAAGCGAGUCUCGCCAAUCAAGUAGGGGUGCACGUGAAAAAUGCGGGUCCACAAAUUGGCGACUCCACUGGGGAUUUUGAGGAUCAAUCUUGAACACUAGUUGAGGAAAAUGUGGCAUUUAAUUGGUCAAUUAGAGGGUACCCCUUUUUUCUAGGCAAGGUGAUUCAAUUUGCUUGCUUGUUUGGU